UACGUAGGGACCGAGCGUUGUCCGGAUUCAUUGGGCGUAAAGAGCUCGUAGGCGGCUGCUCAAGUCGAAUGUGAAAACUCGAGGCUCAACCUCGAGCCUGCAUUCGAUACUGGGCGGCUAGAGUCUGGUAGGGGGAUCUGGAAUUCCUGGUGUAGCGGUGGAAUGCGCAGAUAUCAGGAGGAACACCGGUGGCGAAGGCGGAUCUCUGGGCCUUACCUGACGCUGAGGCGCGAAAGCGUGGGGAGCGAACAGG
rnacentral:rRNA from 1 species